CGGGGUGAGUAAUGUCUGGGAAACUGCCUGAUGGAGGGGGAUAACCACUGGAAACGGUAGCUAAUACCGCAUAACGUCGCAAGACCAAAGAGGGGGACCUUAGGGCCUCUUGCCAUCGGAUGUGCCCAGAUGGGAUUAGCUAGUAGGUGGGGUAAUGGCUCACCUAGGCGACGAUCCCUAGCUGGUCUGAGAGGAUGACCAGCCACACUGGAACUGAGACACGGUCCAG
rnacentral:rRNA from 1 species